CAGGCGACCUGAAGCCCGGCGCCGAUGUCAACAUAACGGGGCCAGUAGGCAAAGAGAUGCUCAUGCCUAAAGACCCCAAUGCUACUAUUAUCAUGCUCGCAACAGGGACCGGUAUCGCGCCAUUCCGGUCAUUCUUGUGGAAGAUGUUCUUCGAGAAGUACGAAGACUACAAGUUCAAUGGCCUGGCAUGGCUCUUCUUGGGAGUUCCCACCAGCAACUCUCUGCUCUACCCGGAGG